UUUGCGUUUUCAAUCCCAGGUGCGCAGGCCCUGGAAUGCAAGUGGGGGGCAAUCGAGGCCGUAAGGAAUGUGUCAGAACUGCCCCUCCAGUGGACAACUGGCUGGGAAUCCUGCGCCCAAGGCCAGGGUUGCCAGGAAACGGUGAUCCUCGUGGUGAAUGGACCCCUCGUGAAUGUGGUGCUCACAAAGGGCUGUACUGAGGCGGAGGAUCAAGAAGGCCACGUCAGUGAGCACAGGAAGGGCCCCGGACUCACCAUCAUCUCCUACACGCGCGUGUGCCGCCAUAAAGACUUCUGCAACGACCUGUCCUCCACCGAUGCCUUCUGGACCCUGCCCCCUGCUGCAGUCCUAGGGACCCUGCAGUGCCCAGUCUGCUUUUCCAGAUACAACUGUCCAGAGAAGGCUUCACAGCAGUUCUGCCCUGUGGGACAGACUCACUGCUACAAUGGAGUCCUCAAGCUCAGGGGAGGGGGAAUUGCCACCAAUCUGAAAGUACAGGGGUGCUUGCCCAAACCAGGCUGUGACCUGCUCAAUGGGACCCAGAAAAUUGGCCCCAUUGCUGUGAGUGAGAACUGCAAUCCUAAGU